rnacentral:rRNA from 1 species
UACGUAGGUGGCAAGCGUUAUCCGGAUUUACUGGGCGUAAAGGGCGUGUAGGCGGGAAAGCAAGUCAGAUGUGAAAACCACGGGCUCAACCUGUGGCCUGCAUUUGAAACUGUUUUUCUUGAGUACUGGAGAGGCAGACGGAAUUCCUCGUGUAGCGGUGAAAUGCGUAGAUAUGAGGAGGAACACCAGUGGCGAAGGCGGUCUGCUGGACAGCAACUGACGCUGAGGCGCGAAAGCGUGGGGAGCAAACAGG